CAUAGCUUGCCUGGGAGUGUCUCCUGGCCUUGCUGACACAACCAGAAACUAGCUCCUAGAGUUAUGCUUGCUUUUCAAGGCAUCGCUUCCAACUCCUCUAUUUUUGUAGUGUAUCACAGCUUGCGGGCUGUGGACUGAAGGCCAGGAGAGCCUGGAAGGCUGACUGCAAAGUAGGGGGUUUAGGAGAGGAAUUUGGAGGAGGAAGGAGGGGUUGAGUGAUGUCCAGAUUCAGGUUUCAGUGCCAUCCCUGCGUUUUACAUUCACAGAAUUUCCCUUUGUGACCUCUUAUCCUGUACCAGCGUCAUGGAACUCUCAUCUGUCAGUCAUAGGAAAUCUGUCCUCUUAUGUGCCUGGAAAACAAAGGGAAAUGUGUAAUUUCACCAGAGGGCAACUCCUGCAUGGCUUAUCUUGCCAUAAAGCUCAGCAGGGACACGGCUCGCUCUGCAAGCAUCAAACUCCUUGCCCAGACAGCGGGCCUUCUUUGCACUUGGAUGUGAAAAGCACUCUCUCACGUGGAGGACACUCAUCCCAGGUUCUUUGGAAGGAGAAAGCUGCCUUUCUUCCCCUACAAUGCAGGCAGUCGGUUGCCUCGAGACACAGGUACCCGUUCUCAGCCAGGAGUGCGUUCUUUGCACACUUGUAGCACCUGUAAUGAGAAAGGAGACAUGAAGGAAAAGAGGAUAAAGGACAGAGGUAUAAUAGAACAUCAGACAGGAAAAAAGAAAGCAGAAUAUGAGUGCCAGCUUUAUUAUUCAGCACAUGCCAAGCAAGCACACUACCACGUGUGCCAUGGAUCCCUGGCAGGGGGUAAGCAGUCUCGGCUGGCCUGGAGCAAGGCCCUUUUAAACUGUAGGCGGCUUCUGG
rnacentral:lncRNA from 1 species